rnacentral:rRNA from 1 species
UACGGGGGAUGCGAGCGUUAUCCGGAUUUAUUGGGUUUAAAGGGUGCGUAGGCGGGCGCUUAAGUCAGCGGUAAAAUUGCGGGGCUCAACCUCGUCGAGCCGUUGAAACUGGGUGCCUUGAGUGGGCGAGAAGUACGCGGAAUGCGUGGUGUAGCGGUGAAAUGCAUAGAUAUCACGUAGAACUCCGAUUGCGAAGGCAGCGUACCGGCGCCCAACUGACGCUGAAGCACGAAGGCGUGGGUAUCGAACAGG